rnacentral:rRNA from 1 species
AGUGAACGCUGGCGGCGUGCCUAAUACAUGCAAGUCGAACGGAGAUUAAGUAGCUUGCUAUUUAAUCUUAGUGGCGCACGGGUGAGUAAUAUAUAGCUAACUUGCCCAUUACUAAGGGACAACAGUUGGAAACGACUGCUAAUACCGUAUACUCCGUAUCUAUAUAAGUAGAUACGGGAAAGUUUUUCGGUAAUGGAUAGGGCUAUAUCGUAUCAGCUAGUUGGUAAGGUAAUGGCUUACCAAGGCUAUGACGCGUAACUGGUCUGAGAGGAUGAUCAGUCGCACUGGAACUGAGACAUGGUCCAGACUCCUACGGGAGGCCGCAGUAGGGAAUAUUGCUCAAUGGGGGAAACCCUGAAGCAGCAACGCCGCGUGGAGGAUGACACUUUUCGGAGCGUAAACUCCUUUUCUUGGGAAAGAAUUAUGACGGUACCCAAGGAAUAAGCACCGGCUAACUCCGUG